CCUACGGGCGGCUGCAGUGGGGAAUAUUGCACAAUGGGCGCAAGCCUGAUGCAGCCAUGCCGCGUGUGUGAAGAAGGCCUUCGGGUUGUAAAGCACUUUCAGCGGGGAGGAAGGCGUUAAGGUUAAUAACCUUGGCGAUUGACGUUACCCGCAGAAGAAGCACCGGCUAACUCCGUGCCAGCAGCCGCGGUAAUACGGAGGGUGCAAGCGUUAAUCGGAAUUACUGGGCGUAAAGCGCACGCAGGCGGUCUGUCAAGUCGGAUGUGAAAUCCCCGGGCUCAACCGGGGAGCUGCAUUCGAAACUGGCAGGCUAGAGUCUUGUAGAGGGGGGUAGAAUUCCAGGUGUAGCGGUGAAAUGCGUAGAGAUCUGGAGGAAUACCGGUGGCGAAGGCGGCCCCCUGGACAAAGACUGACGCUCAGGUGCGAAAGCGUGGGGAGCAAACAGGAUUAGAUACCCGAGUAGUC
rnacentral:rRNA from 1 species